ACCUGGGUGGCUCAGUGGUUGAGCAUCUGCCUUCAGCUCAGGUCAUGAUCAGGUCCUGGGAUCGAGUCCCACAUCGGGUU
rfam:Canis lupus familiaris chromosome 22, whole genome shotgun sequence.